CUUUUGGAAAUUUCUCAAGCAAAUCACUCAAUGCACUCUUCCCUAGCCAAGACAUCAUCAGGAAGCAGUAAGGACUGAGUCCUGCUUCACCCACAGCCCCCAGGCUGACGCUCGGCCUGGUCCCUCAGAAGGUGCCUGUGGGGGCGGCCGCCACCAGGAGAGGAAGGGAGACGUCUAAUGGCACCCUGGGUCCUCCAGGCACACGGAUACAUAGGAGCUCAGC
rnacentral:lncRNA from 1 species